rnacentral:rRNA from 1 species
GAUGAACGCUGGCGGCGUGCCUAAUACAUGCAAGUCGAGCGAACAGACGAGGAGCUUGCUCCUUCGACGUUAGCGGCGGACGGGUGAGUAACACGUAGGUAACCUACCUAUAAGACUGGGAUAACUUCGGGAAACCGGAGCUAAUACCGGAUAAUAUUUCGAACCGCAUGGUUCGAUAGUGAAAGAUGGCUUUGCUAUUACUUAUAGAUGGACCUGCGCCGUAUUAGCUAGUUGGUAAGGUAACGGCUUACCAAGGCAACGAUACGUAGCCGACCUGAGAGGGUGAUCGGCACCACUGGAACUGAGACACGGUCCAGACUCCUACGGGAGGCAGCAGUAGGGAAUCUUCCGCAAUGAGCGAAAGCCUGACGGAGCAACGCCGCGUGAGUGAUGAAGGUCUUCGGAUCGUAAAACUCUGUUAUUAGGGAAGAACAAAAGUGUAAGUAACUGUGCACGUCUUGACGGUACCUAAUCAGAAAGCCACGGCUAACUACGUG